rnacentral:rRNA from 1 species
UACGGAGGGGGCUAGCGUUGUUCGGAAUUACUGGGCGUAAAGAGCGCGUAGGCGGUUUGUAAAGUUGGGAGUGAAAUCCCGGGGCUUAACCCCGGAACUGCUUCCAAAACUUAUAGACUAGAGAGCGGUAGAGGAUGGUGGAAUUCCUAGUGUAGAGGUGGAAUUCUUAGAUAUUAGGAGGAACAUCGGUUGCGAAGGCGGCCAUCUGGGCCGAAUCUGACGCUGAGGCGCGAAAGCGUGGGGAGCAAACAGG